rnacentral:rRNA from 1 species
GUAGAUAUCUGGAGGAACAUCAGUGGCGAAGGCGGCUCUCUGGCCAAAAACUGACGCUCAUGUGCGAAAGCGUGGGUAGCGAACAGGAUUAGAUACCCUGGUAGUCCACGCUGUAAACGAUGUCAACUAGCCGUUGGAAGGGUAAUCCUUUUAGUGGCGUAGCUAACGCGCUAAGUUGACCGCCUGGGGAGUACGGUCGCAAGAUUAAAACUCAA